GGGCCUGGGUUGGUUUUGACAGCGAGGAUAAUGGUUCGGUAAGCAUGCAGGCUCAGGUAACACAAGCCUCAACAAGGGUUACAAAACGAUAAUUGGCGAAAAUAACUACGCUCUUGCCGCUUAAUCGAAGCACAGUAGAUUAAAGCUAAUCGCCGCAAAGUGUGGCGAGCAGGACAUCUCUCCAAGACCCUUUCUCUGUGGUCGAGGGCAAAGAGGUGCAGCAAAACAGAGAUAGUUCAAGGCACUCUUCCGGUCUUGAAUGAACAUUUAGGAAGAUAAGGAAGCGUCGGGACGUCUGCCGCUUUGACACUUCACGAAAAUCGUCGGCAGAAUAAGCAUGUAGAAAGCCGGGUUGUUACUCGUUUGGACCAGAGUUCGAAUCUCUGCAGGUCCACA
rnacentral:tmRNA from 1 species